AGUGAACGCUGGCGGUAGGCCCAACACAUGCAAGUCGAACGGCAGCACAGUAAGAGCUUGCUCUUACGGGUGGCGAGUGGCGGACGGGUGAGGAAUACAUCGGAAUCUACUUUUUCGUGGGGGAUAACGUAGGGAAACUUACGCUAAUACCGCAUACGACCUACGGGUGAAAGCAGUGGAUCUUCGGACCUUGCGCGAUUGAAUGAGCCGAUGUCGGAUUAGCUAGUUGGCGGGGUAAAGGCCCACCAAGGCGACGAUCCGUAGCUGGUCUGAGAGGAUGAUCAGCCACACUGGAACUGAGACACGGUCCAGACUCCUACGGGAGGCAGCAGUGGGGAAUAUUGGACAAAGGGCGCAAGCCUGAUCCAGCCAUACCGCGUGGGUGAAGAAGGCCUUCGGGUUGUAAAGCCCUUUUGUUGGGAAAGAAAAGCAGCAGGUUAAUACCCCGCUGUUCUGACGGUACCCAAAGAAUAAGCACCGGCUAACUUCGUG
rnacentral:rRNA from 1 species